rnacentral:misc_RNA from 1 species
CAGAGCAUCAUGCCCUUCGGGGUAGAUCUCCCACCCUAUGUAUUACAUACCUUUUGUUGCUUUGGCAGGCCGCUUCGGCCACCGGCUUCGGCUGGUGCGUGCCUGCCAGAGGACCCCAAACUCUGAAUGUUAGUGUCGUCUGAGUAAAAACAUAAUAUUUA